ACAGGAAACCGCAUCAAAUCAAUCCGAUUAAGACACUCGAGGGGCAACAAUCUGGCAUUAGAGCUGAUACACCAGAACAUAAGUGUACUUUUUCAGUCGGCAAUGUUUUCUUUACGUUUUUCGCAAUUUUAUGGGUGAUGUUUUGGUCUUGAGAGUACCAGGAGCAUGCACCCGAUACUUCUCAGUGGUGGUGAUUUGUUGAGUUGACAAGCUGCUCCUGCUGGUAAAUUCGAUGACAGCCAAAACUUUACAGGUUUUUGUCUUGUGAUCACGUUCCUCAAUUGUUUUUUUAGGGAAAGCUUUAGGUCAUAGACCUAUAGCAUUUUGUUGCUGAAAUCCCUCCUUUGGAGCAUUCACAAAUAAGUUGUGGAGGCCAGUGAUCUAGGUCCUGAUAUUUCUGGCAUCCCCUGCAGUGGUCCAUUCCCCUGCAAAUUCUGAUGGCCAAGCAACCCGGGAAGGUCUAAUAUGAAGACUCUGCCAUAUCCAUAAGGUCAAUGUUCUUCUUCCAGUCUGCAAUUCAGUACUGCAAUUACAGAACAUUAAAAUCACCAUCAGUUGUUUGCCGACCUGAUACUGAACCGAUCAGACGGAGCUGAUCGUUUCAUGCCGAGAUAAGUAUAUUUUUCGUCCCACAACUGCAGGAAGUGUAUAUUUGGUUUCUAAUUUUUUUCAUAGAUAUUUCGUCCCUCAACUGUCUAAAGUGAACAUUUUUUGUCAAACGACCCACACUUUUUUUCUGGAUAAAGAGAGCUUUUAUUGAACUUAGAGGUCUCAUCAAGAAGAUACAUCAAGUAAAGUUCACACACAGUCUCUACAUAACAAGAUGCACAUAGGCUAACAAACCAAAAGAGAAGAAAAACUGCAAAUGCCUUUAUACGACCAACAAAAAAAAUGCACGACGGAGCCUGCAGCUGAAGAUUAAGUUGUCACUCAUUGUGGAUAAAAACCUCCCGAGCUCACUCUACUUCUCACUACAGUAACGCUAAGAAACAGAGCCAAUGACUAUAUUGAAAGAUAACCAGCAUAGGAGAUUGUCUGUUAUUAAAAAUAAUGACGUUCAUAGCCAAAUCGACCGGAGAAAAUCACCAUUGCUCCAACGAAAAUCUUAACUCUAAACUUACCGCCUAUGCCAUGUAGCUAUUUCACAUAUGUCCAUCCGCCGGUAGCACACGCUCACGUCGCCAGUCUCCGUUUCUCGUGGCACCCACUUCCGAAGGAGAAGUGACGGCUCAUGCUCCGGAUCCUAGACAUUAUUGAUAACGAGUAGGAAAAUGAGGAGAAGAGGGCCAUCCACAAAGAAGCGAAUGAGCAAGCAGAUAAGCAAGAGAGGGCGGAACCAACCACAUAGAUUGAGAGAGCAGAAAUGUUUGCUUUUGACCGUUGAGAACCGAAAUGUCUACGGAAAAUAAGAGAUCAGUUAUAUAUUCUCGUGACAGCUGGUGAUGAAAAAUAUAACUCCCUCUUUCUCACCGCGGCAAGUAAUAAACACUGAGGCAGGCGUCAGUCGCCCGACCACCGUCUGAACGACACUUACUAAGGAUCCAGAAUGCAGUGUAGAUCCAUCACUGCAGCAACUGUAAUACUUUCUGCCAAGGCACUCAUUGCAAGCAAUUGGGACCAGUUCUUGCUAAUGGCAGUAGCUGGUCAAUUUUGGCAAAGCAACGGUUAGCGGUUUUUCCUGGUGUACGACGCUAUGCUAACCGAUCCUGUCAUUCUGAUGGGUGCUUGCAGUGUUCUCUACCGGUGAUCGGUAGGAUGCCGGCAUGGACAUUUCUUCCAGAAACGUCAAAUCCGGCGUGCCGUGCCCGUGCUCAUGUAUCUCUUCAUCAAGGACAGGGAAAGCGACUGAAUGUUGCGACAUUGCCAAGUGAAAUACUCCCUCUGAUCCAUUCGGCCACCCUCUAAGACUGAAGGAAUCUAAGCGUAGAGGAUGACAAAUUCUCUUGGUGUGCCGCAGGAGAGAUUGGCAGGUGAUGUUUCACCUUAACAAGUGAAGUGAAAUACUUCCUCUGAUCCAUAAUAAGUGUCUUGGAUUUAGUAAAACUUUGUACUAAGUUAGUACAAAAUCUGAGACACUUUGUUAUGGAUCUGAGGAAGUAGAUCUUUUCUUUAUCCAAUGUUGGUAUCACCUUCUGAAUACUUGACCUGAGCCGGUGUCUGAAUUUUCGUACUGUGAACAGUAGUAAAUUACUCCCAUCUCUUUAUGCUUUCAAAUUCAAGUUCACUGCUAGCAAGUGCAGGUGGAGUAAAUUUUAGCAUGUACACUGAUGUAGUGGAGGUGAUGUAACUUCUAGCAUUUACUGGUGUAAAACACAGGAGAUGUCCUACUGUCAGCGAUGCAUGCAACUGCCUGUUGCACUUUAAUUUUGUUGGCUUGCAUAACAGUGGAUCUCAGGACAGACAGUGUGUCAGGCUGCCCCAAAAAAUAACCAACUCCGUUGGUCCUUCCCACAAUAUAGAAGUGAUAUGGACUUGUCUCAUGCCUCAUCUUCGCUUUUGGUCAAAGAAAGGUCUAAACCUAAUUCAGGCCCAAAAUUAUUGCACUCUCUUACAUACAAAUCACAUGCUACCAUUUUGCUAAGAGAGGAAAUAAGACGAAAAAAAUUGAAUUUGUAGAAGCUCCUAGAUAAGUAAUGGCAUGUCGAAAAGCUGAUUUUGGGUUUUAUUCUUUUACAAGUGUACUGGAGUGUUACUGCAAAGAGUAGAAUCUGGAUGAUGUUUUCUAGUACAUGAGGAAAAGUGCAAUACAUGUAUGUCACAGUCCGAUAAAAAAGGAUAGCGACAUAUCACCUGAAAGUAGUAGCAUACAGAUGUAUAUUUCUCCAGGGUGCCAGCUCUCACUUUUGGAGUUGCUUUCUUUGCCUUGCUUUACCAGAGCAAUCUAUCAUCUGUCAUGCCUCCUCCUAGAUUUACUCAAAGAUCACUUCUUCCCAUUUUUUGUUUUAUCCUAAACACUUUCAAGUAAUCUAAAUUAUCCUCUAACCAAGGAAUCCUCAUGGAUCAGGCAGCACAGUCAGUUUGCCAACUUAAACUCCUAUUGGCUACCUGAUCUUCUUUUUUUCACAUAUCAAGAUCAAUGGCAUAAAUGAAAAAAUAAAAUAAAAGGAAAGAAAAUAACAUAACUCAGAAAAGCAAAGGACAAAAGCAAGCAUGGCUCACUUGCUUGCCCUGCCCCCUACAUUAGCCCCUUUCAAAAGCACAUCAGAAGCAGCUGGAGAAGAAGAAAGAAAACUCAAGAAGAAAACAAGGAGCAAGAAACACAAGUUCUACCACUGACUCCACAAUAUAAUGUGCUGAGACAGAGAGGAAACCUCACACUCACAUUUGGGUUCUUGCACUUGCAUUGCACCAGCAAUAUCCCAUGAGAAGCUCAUAGAGGGGGUGCAGUGCCAAGCAACCGAUAGGCAGGAGAUACCAUGAGGACUGCGAAGCCGGCAUCGACAGCAACAUUGGUGAUGUUGUUUGGAGGCCUUGUUCUGGUAUCAUUGAUGGUGGAGGCAAGCGCGAAACCAUCAUCUCCGGUGAGCGCUGCUGAUGCAGUAGUAGGCGGUAGGAGGAUGAUGACCGGGGUUAAUGGAGGAUUGUCUCAGAAGACACCGGAGGAACUCAAGGCUGAUGAUCCUUUGAGCAGCAGCAAGAGGCGGGUGCCCAAUGGACCGGAUCCAGUCCACAACAGGUACUUCGUUUUCUUGCAUGCAAGAAUGCAAUGUUCUGCUCCUUGUUCUUCUCCGUCCUUCUCUUGUUUGGCAUUCCAAAUUUCCAACUUUCCAUGGAUCCAAGGAAAGUUUCAUUUUCACACCAAAACUGACAGAGAAGAACAAAAUAUACAAUUCUUAUGGCUAAUGUCCCAAUCUUUUAGGUUUUUUAGGAAAGUCUCAUUUUUUCAUGGAUCUUGCUUGUUGAAGAAUUCUUUAGGUUUUGCACAAGCAUUUAUCUAAUAUGUCAAAGAAAUUUUUAUUUAAAUAAAUUUUACGAAAAACAGUAGGAGAAAAUUGGUAUUAAAUUCAUGGCUCCAGAUUAUUGUUGUGGUCCUUUUAUGUUUAGACAAACUACCUUCUAAAUAUAAAUCAACACCACUCUCACAUGUCAUCGCCGAGUAUGAGUUUACUCUUUUUUAUUGAGUGAAGCAUUAUAUGUCCAAAUAUAAGGUGCUUUGAUUUUGAAGGCAUAGUUCAAAUUGUGUUUAACAUAAAUGCAUGAUAAGCUUAAUUCAAGAGAUGAGGCAAAGCUUUUGCCUCCGUUUCAGGAAAAAAAACAUGAUAAGGAUAACAACAUGACAACAAUAACAAAAUAUGGCUACACUGCUUGUUCUCAUUACACCAACAUUUUCCAGUGAUGACUGCAUUCUAACCUUUUAACAAAGGCAAGCUACUACUCAUACUUCCCUAAAGAUUUCCCUGUAUGCACUUAUCAUACUUGGAAUGAUUAGCCAACAUGCAUCUGUAGCAACUGAAAACAUGCAUCUGAAGCAGUCAAACAAAGUACACUGUGCAAUGGCAUUGUUAAUUAGCUAUCAUAACUUAAUGAAAAGCCAAAUAAUGCAGUAAAGAUCACCUUGAACAUAACAACUUGAAGGGUUGUUCCAAUGCUCGCCUGUCCUUUCAUGUUAAAAUGCUCAUUACUCUGUAUUCUUCAGGGGAGCUGGAGAGUCAGGACGAUCGCCCGGCAGAGCGUAGGAGCGACACGCGCCCCGACAAGCAGAAGCUUCUGAAGUGCUUGUGUUGGAUCAGAUCAUUGUGUUGAAAGAGGAAAGGAAAAAACAGGAGUUCCAUUUUGUGGUGGGUCUGGCAGGGAUGCUGGUGUAACUAGGGGAAGGUGGCCUAUCUUGUUCUAAGCACUGCUAUUUAAGACGAUUUUAGGCAUAAAAGCUUUUGCUUUUCCAAAAUCAAAAGCCAUUCUACUGAUGGAGGUUUGUAAAGAGAGCAGUAGCAAGCUUCCCUCUCACAAAAAUCAGCUAUCAAAGGUUCUUGGGUAGAGGGAUAUGGGCAAGAUCAUCUCAUUACUUUGAGCUGUUGCUUUGCACAUGUUUCCUAUUUGUUGUAUUGAUUAGGAAAGCACAUUGCACGUUUCCUAUAGAGGAACAGGUAAAGAUAAGAUGAGCAAUAAUAUCAAGGUUUUGUUUCUUAUCUUGUGGUGAGAUCUGAAAUCCAUUGCAGCCUGUGCCCUAGCAACAAAGCAAAGUAGACCCACUUACUGUUAAAGAUGCUUUUGAUUCUUAUGAUUAACAUGUUCCACUUGCAGAUGAUCUUACCAUUUGCUAGCAACAGGAAAUUUGUUUUGAGGAAUCUGUGCCAGCUUCUAAAGCUUGGUUACAUAAAACUACUA
rnacentral:lncRNA from 1 species